CCUACGGGAGGCAGCAGUGGGGAAUUUUGCGCAAUGGGCGCAAGCCUGACGCAGCAACGCCGCGUGGGUGAAGAAGGCCUUUGGGUCGUAAAGCCCUUUUCUGGGGGACGAGACUGACGGUACCUCAGGAAUAAGCACCGGCUAACUCCGUGCCAGCAGCCGCGGU
rnacentral:rRNA from 1 species